rnacentral:lncRNA from 1 species
CCCUUCUGUACUUUAUGGCCAAUUCAUCCUCUUCAUCAUCAUGUGACUCCAUGAUAUAGGGCUUGGCCAAUUCACCCUCUUUAUCAUCAUGUGACUCCAUAAUAUAGGGCUUGGCCAAUUCACCCUCUUUAUCAUCAUGUGACUCUAUGAUAUAGGGCUUUCUCUGCCACGUCAGAAGAACACAGAACUGAACAGCUUUUCACCACCUCCUUCUCCUCCCAGCAGCCGACUGUCGACAGAAAACACAAAAAUAAAAUCUCUCCUCCAAAAUGAGAGUCCGAAAUCGUGACGAUGACGAGGUGGAGCGACGAAGAGAGUGACAGAAACGUAACAAACCAGAGAAAUAUGAACCUCAUUUUUACCGCUGCCGCCUUUCUCCUCUCCUCCUCGUAUCGUUUGGUCGCUUGUGUCUCUUCGAUGCCGCAGACAGAGAGUCGUCUGCCGGGCGCUGUCUGUGUCUGGCUGCCCUGAAACACGAGAGACAGAAGGAAGAUGGUACUAUUGGAGGGGUUUUAACAACAGAGAAGAAGAAACAAGAGAGACAGGAGGAAGAUGGUUCUAUUGGAGGGGUUUUAACAACAGAGAAGAAGAAACAAGAGAGACAGGAGGAAGAUGGUUCUAUUGGAGGGGUUUUAACAACAGAGAAGAAGAAACAAGAGAGACAGGAGGAAGAUGGUUCUAUUGGAGGGGUUUUAACAACAGAGAAGAAGAAACAAGAGAGACAGGAGGAAGAUGGUUCUAUUGGAGGGGUUUUAACAACAGAGAAGAAGAAACAAGAGAGACAGGAGGAAGAUGGUUCUAUUGGAGGGGUUUUAACAACAGCGAAGAAGAAACAAGAGAGACAGGAGGAAGAAGGUUAUAUUGGAGGGGUUUUAACAACAGAGAAGAAGAAACAAGAGAGACAGGAGGAAGAUGGUACUAUUGGGGGGUUUUAACAGCAGCGAAGAAGAAACAAGAGAGACAGAAGGAAGAUGGUACUAUUUGGGGGGGUUUUAACAGCAGAGAAGAAGAAACAAGAGAGACAGAAGGAAGAUGGUUCUAUUGGGGGGGUUUUAACAACAGCGAAGAAGAAGAGCGUCUCUCUGCGUUGAUCUCUGACUGCUUUGUUAUUACACAUCAGGGAGAACGGGACUAUCAUUUUUCCGCCUUUUUGUGGAUGGAAGUGGAAAAAUGAUAUGUUUUUUUGGGGGGAGUGGGUUUUCUUUGAGGAGGAGGACGACAUCAGAUAUUUCCACUCAGACUCUGUCGCAUUGCAGACUUCCCAUGACACUUGUGGGGGUCGUGGAGUAAAACGGAGAACACCACCGUGUUUGUAGACGAAACGGUUUCGGAUGCUACCAAACAGAAACAUCAGCACAUCAACGAUGCCGACUUCAGACCAGUCUCCUGGUACCUGUCAGGGGUCAUAGAGAGAGACCAGUCUCCUGGUACCUGUCAGGGGUCAUAUUGAGAGA